rnacentral:rRNA from 1 species
UGCCAGCAGCCGCGGUAAUACGGAGGGGGUUAGCGUUGUUCGGAAUUACUGGGCGUAAAGCGUACGUAGGCGGAUUAAUAAGUUAGAGGUGAAAUCCCGGGGCUCAACCCCGGAACUGCCUCCAAAACUGCCAGUCUAGAGUUCGAGAGAGGUGAGUGGAAUUCCAAGUGUAGAGGUGAAAUUCGUAGAUAUUUGGAGGAACACCAAUUGCGAAGGCAGCUCACUGGGCCGCUAUCGACGCUGAGGAGCAAAAGCUAGGGGAGCAAACAGGAUUAGAUA